rnacentral:rRNA from 1 species
AUUGAACGCUGGCGGCAGGCCUAACACAUGCAAGUCGAACGAGUGGUGGACGGGUGAGUAAUGUCUGGGCAACUGCCCGAUGGAGGGGGAUCACUACUGGAAACGGUAGCUAAUACCGCCUACCAUCGGAUGUGCCCAGAUGGGAUUAGCUUGUAGGUGCGGUAACGGCUCACCUAGGAGACGAUCCCUAGCUUGUCUGAGAGGAUGAACAGCCACACGGGAACUGAGACGCGGUCCAGACGCCUACGGGAGGCAGCAGUGGGGAAUAUUGCACAAGGGGCGCAAGCCUGUUGCAGCCAUGCCGCGUGUAUGAAGAAGGCCUUCGGGUUGUAAAGUACUUGCAGCGGGGAGGCGUUACCCGCAGAAGAAGCACCGGCUAACUCCGUGCCAGCCGCCGCGGUAAUUC